rnacentral:misc_RNA from 1 species
CCACCUUAGAGAGGCUGCGUCCUCCAUAAUCGACUGAGCGCACCCACGAUUGACCAUUUUUCGUUCUGUCAUCUGCACUACUGCUAUCGCUGCCACUAAAAAGAAGAGGAAGCGAGACGCACACUUGCUUCCUUGGCGCGAUCCCACGCCUGCCUCGCGUGUGUGUGUGUGUGUGCCGCACCUUUGCUUUACAGCACGAAACUCAACACCAUAGACACCUCUCUUUACACCCACACGUCAGCAAUCAUGUCGAAAGACGACGCGAGCAUUGCCUAUGCCAAGAAGCACAAAAUCCACCAUCUGUUCGAGCUCAUGGCGACCAAGGUGUUGCUGAACCGUCCCGAGAACCCCUUUGCGUACCUUCGCAACCUCCUCAAGGACGUGGAGGAGUCCGAGAAGAACAGGGUCCCGUACGAUCCUACGCAGGUCCACUUCAACAACGACGUCGGUGCCGCAGCACCUGCGGCAGGAAGCAGCGGCGGCAGUGCCGCGGCGGCUCCAGCAGCGGCGCUGACCUCCGCGAAGAAGGAAAAGAGAACCGUGACGCUAGCCACCUUCGGUCUCGACCGGGCAGGCAAGACGUGCGCCCUUUCCGUGUUGGAGAGCGGCGAGGCGGACAAGAAGUACACCCCGACCGUCGGCUUUGCCCCGAUCAAGUUCCCGCUGGACGACUACAACUUGUGCGUCUUUGACCUCGGCGGGGCCGCCAACUUCCGCGGCAUUUGGGUGCACUACUACCACGACUGCUUCGGUAUCGUGUAUGUCAUCGACUCAGCGGCCAGCGAUGAGCGGGUGGCCGAGUCGCUCAAGGUGCUGCACGAGACGCUCCAGCACCCGUAUGUGAAAGGGAAACCGCUCUUGGUGCUCGCAAACAAGAAGGACUUGCCGGAAAGCCGCGGAGUGGGGGUGGUCCCCCAGGGCUUUCUCGAGGAGGCGAUGGGGGAAUCGGGUGCGCCGCACCGCGUGCUGGCGACGUGUGCCAUAGAAGAUGACCCGGCCUUGGUGGAGGGUAUUGAGUGGCUGCUGGAGGCUGUGUCGAAGGAGUACGACGCACUGGCGAAGCGGGUGGCGAAGGACAGCAACGAGGUGAAGAACGAAAAGGCUCGCCAACGGGCUGCCAGGCUGGCUGCAAUUCGCGGCGAGGACAAGUGAAGAAUGCCUGGGCCCGGGGAAUGGUUCUACGGUGGUCUUCCCGAGACCUGCUGCUGACUCCUUGCCGUCGUCACCGUUGGUUCUUGCUUGUUUUCGCUGCACGAAUCAUGGAAGCAGUGUGCCUCCGUGUUGGGGUCUGUGUGUGCAUGCGUGUCUGUUUGCACAUCCCUCUGUUUGACGGUUAACGAUAGAUAUGUACGAGUGCGAGCGUCGCUUGGGCCUGGUCGCUUUUUUUUUGUUUUCGCUUGUCUGCCGGUGUUGUUGUCCUGCUCUCUCUUUCCCCACUGGGUGGAACGAGGGGGGCUCCCUUGUUAUCCCUGAUUUUGUCGCGUUGCCUGCCAGUGACAACGGCAGGUGCGCGAAUGCUGUUGUGUGCUAACCGUUCUCCUGCAUAGCCAUAGCGUCUCCCCGUUCCUGAGACGCCCCCGUCCAGCCUGUGUGAGGUACGGUUCCCGCUGCGGUCGCGGCUCAAUUGACGGCAACGAGGGCAUGGGUGCCUCUUCCCACAAAGAGGUGCGUGAUUGCAUGUGCUUUUCUCCUUCCAUUUGUCGGCAAACCGGAUGCCUUUCGGAGUCUGCCUCCGCCCCAGUCAUGCAACGGGGGCUGUGCGGGAGGGGGGAGAUUCAGGUGACAUGGAAGGCAUGUCGAAGCCAGCGGGAUUUUUCAACAAAAGAAAAA